rnacentral:rRNA from 1 species
UACGAAGGACCCGAGCGUUAUCCGGAUUUAUUGGGUUUAAAGGGUGCGUAGGCGGAUUAUUAAGUCAGUGGUGAAAGCCUGCAGCUUAACUGCAGAACUGCCAUUGAUACUGAUGAUCUUGAGUAUGAUUGAGGUGGGCGGAAUGUGUCAUGUAGCGGUGAAAUGCUUAGAUAUGACACAGAACACCGAUUGCGAAGGCAGCUCACUAAGCCAUAACUGACGCUGAUGCACGAAAGCGUGGGGAGCAAACAGG